GUGCUUAACACAUGCAAGUCGAAGCGAAAGGUCUCUUCGGAGACACUCGAGUGGCGAACGGGUGAGUAACACGUGGGCGAUCUGCCCUGCACUUCGGGAUAAGCCUGGGAAACUGGGUCUAAUACCGGAUAGGACCACGGGAUUCAUGUCCUGUGGUGGAAAGCUUUUGCGGUGUGGGAUGGGCCCGCGGCCUAUCAGCUUGUUGGUGGGGUAACGGCCUACCAAGGCGACGACGGGUAGCCGGCCUGAGAGGGUGUCCGGCCACACUGGGACUGAGAUACGGCCCAGACUCCUACGGGAGGCAGCAGUGGGGAAUAUUGCACAAUGGGCGCAAGCCUGAUGCAGCGACGCCGCGUGGGGGAUGACGGCCUUCGGGUUGUAAACCUCUUUCACCAUCGACGAAGGUUCGGGUUUUCUCGGAUUGACGGUAGAUGGAGAAGAAGCACCGGCCAACUACGUGCCAGCAGCCGCGGUAAUACGUAGGGUGCGAGCGUUGUCCGGAAUUACUGGGCGUAAAGAGCUCGUAGGUGGUUUGUCGCGUUG
rnacentral:rRNA from 1 species